rnacentral:rRNA from 1 species
GACGAACGCUGGCGGCGUGCCUUAUACAUGCAAGUUGAGCGCUGAAGGUUGGUACUUGUACCAACUGGAUGAGCAGCGAACGGGUGAGUAACGCGUGGGGAAUCUGCCUUUGGGCGGGGGACAACAUUUGGAAACGAAUGCUAAUACCGCAUAAAAACUUUAAACACAAGUUUUAAGUUUGAAAGAUGCAAUUGCAUCACUCAAAGAUGAUCCCGCGUUGUAUUAGCUAGUUGGUGAGGUAAAGGCUCACCAAGGCGAUGAUACAUAGCCGACCUGAGAGGGUGAUCGGCCACAUUGGGACUGAGACACGGCCCAAACUCCUACGGGAGGCAGCAGUAGGGAAUCUUCGGCAAUGGACGAAAGUCUGACCGAGCAACGCCGCGUGAGUGAAGAAGGUUUUCGGAUCGUAAAACUCUGUUGGUAGAGAAGAACGUUGGUGAGAGUGGAAAGCUCAUCAAGUGACGGUAACUACCCAGAAAGGGACGGCUAACUACGUG